rnacentral:rRNA from 1 species
GACGAACGCUGGCGGCGUGCCUAAUACAUGCAAGUCGAGCGGAACGGGGGGAGCUUGCUCCUUCCAGUUUAGCGGCGGACGGGUGAGUAACACGUGGGCAACCUGCCCUGCAGAUCGGGAUAACUCCGGGAAACCGGUGCUAAUACCGAAUAGGUUAGCGCCUCUCAUGAGGCGCUACGGAAAGACGGUUUCGGCUGUCACUGCAGGAUUGGCCCGCGGCGCAUUAGCCAGUUGGUGGGGUAACGGCCCACCAAGGCGACGAAGCGUAGCCGACCUGAGAGGGUGACCGGCCACACUGGGACUGAGACACGGCCCAGACUCCUACGGGAGGCAGCAGUAGGGAAUCUUCCGCAGUGGACGCAAGUCUGACGGAGCAACGCCGCGUGAGUGACGAAGGUUUUCGGAUCGUAAAACUCUGUUGUGAGGGAAGAACACGUACCAACUAACUAUUGGUACCUUGACGGUACCUCACCAGAAAGCCACGGCUAACUACGUGCCAGCCGCCGCGGUAA